rnacentral:ncRNA from 1 species
UACAGGUAUAGCCGAAAACUGUUAAUAGAGUAGGCA